rnacentral:rRNA from 1 species
GACGAACGCUGGCGGCGUGCUUAACACAUGCAAGUCGAACGAUGAAGCUGGAGCUUGCUCCGGUGGAUUAGUGGCGAACGGGUGAGUAACACGUGAGCAAUCUGCCCUUGACUCUGGGAUAACUGCGGGAAACUGUAGCUAAUACCGGAUACGAGACCUGAAGGCAUCUUCGGGUCUGGAAAGAAUUUCGGUCAAGGAUGAGCUCGCGGCCUAUCAGCUUGUUGGUGAGGUGAUGGCUCACCAAGGCGACGACGGGUAGCCGGCCUGAGAGGGUGACCGGCCACACUGGGACUGAGACACGGCCCAGACUCCUACGGGAGGCAGCAGUGGGGAAUAUUGCGCAAUGGGCGAAAGCCUGAUGCAGCAACGCCGCGUGAGGGAUGAAGGCCUUCGGGUUGUAAACCUUUUUUAGCAGGGAAGAAGCGAAAGUGACGGUACCUGCAGAAAAAGCACCGGCUAACUACGUGCCAGCCGCCGCCGUAA